CCUACGGGAGACAGCAGUGAGGAAUAUUGGUCAAUGGACGAGAGUCUGAACCAGCCAAGUAGCGUGAAGGAUGACUGCCCUAUGGGUUGUAAACUUCUUUUAUAUGGGAAUAAAAUGUUCCACGUGUGGGAUUUUGUAUGUACCAUAUGAAUAAGGAUCGGCAAACUCCGUGCCAGCAGCCGCGGUAAUACGGAGGAUCCGAGCGUUAUCCGGAUUUAUUGGGUUUAAAGGGAGCGUAGGUGGCUUGUUAAGUCAGUUGUGAAAGUUUGCGGCUCAACCGUAGAAUUGCAGUUGAAACUGGCAGUCUUGAGUACAGUAGAGGUAGGCGGAAUUCGUGGUGUAGCGGUGAAAUGCUUAGAUAUCACGAAGAACUCCGAUUGCGAAGGCAGCUCACUGGACUGCAACUGACACUGAGGCUCGAAAGUGUGGGUAUCGAACAGGAUUAGAUACCCCAGUAGUC
rnacentral:rRNA from 1 species